ACGGGACCGCACAAGCGGUGGAUGAUGUGGUUUAAUUCGAUGCAACGCGAAAACCUUACCCACCUUUGACAUGUACGGAAUCCUUUAGAGAUAGAGGAGUGCUCGAAAGAGAACCGUAACACAGGUGCUGCAUGGGCUGUCGUCAGCUCGUGUCGUGAGAUGUUGGGUUAAGUCCCGCAACGAGCGCAACCCUUGUCAUUAGUUGCUACAUUUAGUUGGGCACUCUAAUGAGACUGCCGGUGACAAACCGGAGGAAGGUGGGAUGACGUCAAGUCCUCAUGGCCUUUAUGUCUAGGGCUACACACGUACUACAAUGGCAGGUACAAAGGGCAGCGACACAGCGAUGUGAUGCGAAUCCCGAAAAGCCUGUCUCAGUCCGGAUCGGAGUCUGCAACUCGACUCCGUGAAGUUGGAAUCGCUAGUAAUCGUGGAUCAGCAUGCCACGGUCGAAUACGUUCCCGGGCCUU
rnacentral:rRNA from 1 species